GACGAACGCUGGCGGCGUGCUUAACACAUGCAAGUCGAGCGGAAAGGCCCUUCGGGGUACUCGAGCGGCGAACGGGUGAGUAACACGUGAGCAACCUGCCCCUGACUCUGGGAUAAGCCCGGGAAACUGGGUCUAAUACCGGAGAUGACCGCCCUCGGCAUCGGGUGGUGGUGGAAAGUUUUUCCGGUUGGGGAUGGGAUCGCGGCCUAUCAGCUUGUUGGUGGGGUAGUGGCCUACCAAGGCGACGACGGGUAGCCGGCCGGAGAGGGCGACCGGCCACACUGGGACUGAGACACGGCCCAGACUCCUACGGGAGGCAGCAGUGGGGAAUAUUGCGCAAUGGGCGGAAGCCUGACGCAGCGACGCCGCGUGGGGGAUGACGGCCUCCGGGUUGUAAACCUCUUUCAGCAGGGACGAAGUUGACGUGUACCUGCAGAAGAAGCGCCGGCUAACUACGUGCCAGCCGCCGCCGUAA
rnacentral:rRNA from 1 species